GUGCUGGCUUUGGCAGCACACAUACUAAACUUGGAAUGAUACAGAUAUUAGCAUGGCCCCUAUGCAAGGAUGACAUGCAAAUUCAUGAAGCGUUCCAUAUUUAA